rnacentral:rRNA from 1 species
GUCUAUGGCCAUGCCACCCUGAACAAGCCCAAUCCCAUCUGAUCUUGAAAGCUAAGCAGGGUCCGACCUGGUUAGUACUUGAAUGGGAGACCACCUAGGAGGACCAGGUGCUGUAGGCG